UUACGGUCAAAUCACGUUGAAAACACCGGUUCUCGUUCGAUCACCGAAGUUAAGCAUCGUAGAGCCAGGUCAGUACUUAGAUGGGGAAAUUGGGGCCGCUUGGGAAAACACCUGGUACUGUAAG